AUACGGAGGGUGCAAGCGUUAAUCGGAAUUACUGGGCGUAAAGCGCGCGUAGGCGGCUUUGUAAGUCAGGGGUGAAAGCCUGGAGCUCAACUCCAGAACUGCCUUUGAGACUGCAUCGCUUGAAUCCGGGAGAGGUGAGUGGAAUUCCGAGUGUAGAGGUGAAAUUCGUAGAUAUUCGGAAGAACACCAGUGGCGAAGGCGGCUCACUGGACCGGUAUUGACGCUGAGGUGCGAAAGCGUGGGGAGCAAACAGGAUUAGAAACCCUAGUAGUCC
rnacentral:rRNA from 1 species